rnacentral:rRNA from 1 species
AGUGGCGGACGGGUGAGUAACGCGUGGGUAACCUGCCUUACACUGGGGGAUAACAGUUGGAAACGACUGCUAAUACCGCAUAAGCGCACAGUGCCGCAUGGCACGGUGUGAAAAACUCCGGUGGUGUAAGAUGGACCCGCGUCUGAUUAGCUAGUUGGUGAGGUAACGGCUCACCAAGGCGACGAUCAGUAGCCGGCUUGAGAGAGUGAUCGGCCACAUUGGGACUGAGACACGGCCCAAACUCCUACGGGAGGCAGCAGUGGGGAAUAUUGCACAAUGGGGGAAACCCUGAUGCAGCAACGCCGCGUGAGUGAAGAAGUAUUUCGGUAUGUAAAGCUCUAUCAGCAGGGAAGAUAAUGACGGUACCUGACUAAGAAGCCCCGGCUAACUACGUGCCAGCAGCCGCGGUAAUACGUAGGGGGCAAGCGUUAUCCGGAUUUACUGGGUGUAAAGGGAGCGUAGGCGGCUUGGCAAGUCUGAUGUGAAAGCCCAGGGCUCAACCCUGGGACUGCAUUGGAAACUGUCAGGCUAGAGUGCAGGAGAGGUAAGUGGAAUUCCUAGUGUAGCGGUGAAAUGCGUAGAUAUUAGGAGGAACACCAGUGGCGAAGGCGGCUUACUGGACUGUAACUGACGCUGAGGCUCGAAAGCGUGGGGAGCAAACAGGAUUAGAUACCCUGGUAGUCCACGCUGUAAACGAUGAAUACUAGGUGU